rnacentral:rRNA from 1 species
UCGAGAAUUUUUCACAAUGGGCGCAAGCCUGAUGGAGCGACGCCGCGUGGGGGAUGAAUGGCUUCGGCCCGUAAACCCCUGUCAUUUGCGAUCAACCGUUGUUGUUUAAGAGAUAACAACCUGAUAGUAGCGAAAGAGGAAGGGACGGCUAACUCUGUGCCAGCAGCCGCGGUAAUACAGAGGUCCCAAGCGUUGUUCGGAUUCACUGGGCGUAAAGGGUGCGUAGGUGGCGAAGUAAGUCGGAUGUGAAAUCUCCGAGCUCAACUCGGAAACUGCAUUGGAAACUACUUUGCUCGAGGGUUGGAGGGGGGACUGGAAUACUUGGUGUAGCAGUGAAAUGCGUAGAUAUCAAGUGGAACACCAGUGGCGAAGGCGAGUCCCUGGACAACUCCUGACACUGAGGCACGAAAGCUAGGGGAGCAAACAGG